rnacentral:rRNA from 1 species
CUGCUCAGGAUGAACGCUGGCGGCGUGCCUAAUACAUGCAAGUCGAGCGAACAGACGAGGAGCUUGCUCCUCUGACGUAAGCGGCGGACGGGUGAGUAACACGUGGAUAACCUACCUAUAAGACUGGGAUAACUUCGGGAAACCGGAGCUAAUACCGGAUAAUAUAUUGAACCGCAUGGUUCAAUAGUGAAAGACGGUUUUGCUGUCACUUAUAGAUGGAUCCGCGCCGCAUUAGCUAGUUGGUAAGGUAACGGCUUACCAAGGCAACGAUGCGUAGCCGACCUGAGAGGGUGAUCGGCCACACUGGAACUGAGACACGGUCCAGACUCCUACGGGAGGCAGCAGUAGGGAAUCUUCCGCAAUGGGCGAAAGCCUGACGGAGCAACGCCGCGUGAGUGAUGAAGGUCUUCGGAUCGUAAAACUCUGUUAUUAGGGAAGAACAAAUGUGUAAGUAACUAUGCACGUCUUGACGGUACCUAAUCAGAAAGCCACGGCUAACUACGUGCCAGCAGCCGCGGUAAUACGUAGGUGGCAAGCGUUAUCCGGAAUUAUUGGGCGUAAAGCGCGCGUAGGCGGUUUUUUAAGUCUGAUGUGAAAGCCCACGGCUCAACCGUGGAGGGUCAUUGGAAACUGGAAAACUUGAGUGCAGAAGAGGAAAGUGGAAUUCCAUGUGUAGCGGUGAAAUGCGCAGAGAUAUGGAGGAACACCAGUGGCGAAGGCGACUUUCUGGUCUGUAACUGACGCUGAUGUGCGAAAGCGUGGGGAUCAAACAGGAUUAGAUACCCUGGUAGUCCACGCCGUAAACGAUGAGUGCUAAGUGUUAGGGGGUUUCCGCCCCUUAGUGCUGCAGCUAACGCAUAAGCACUCC